GUUCCUGGCUCAGGAUGAACGCUAGCUACAGGCUUAACACAUGCAAGUCGAGGGGCAGCAUGGUCUUAGCUUGCUAAGGCCGAUGGCGACCGGCGCACGGGUGAGUAACACGUAUCCAACCUGCCGUCUACUCUUGGACAGCCUUCUGAAAGGAAGAUUAAUANAAGAUGGCAUCAUGAGUUCACAUGUUCACAUGAUUAAAGGUAUUCCGGUAGACGAUGGGGAUGCG
rnacentral:rRNA from 1 species